rnacentral:rRNA from 1 species
CCUACGGGAGGCAGCAGUGAGGAAUAUUGCACAAUGGGGGAAACCCUGAUGCAGCGACGCCGCGUGAGUGAAGAAGUAUUUCGGUAUGUAAAGCUCUAUCAGCAGGGAAGAAAUAGCGACCUUUGGUUCGCCAGACGGUACCUGAUUAAGAAGCCCCGGCUAACUACGUGCCAGCAGCCGCGGUAAUACGUAGGGGGCAAGCGUUAUCCGGCUUUACUGGGUGUAACGGGAGCGUAGACGGCAGCACAAGUCUGAAGUGAAAUGCCGGGGCUUAACCCCGGAACUGCUUUGGAAACUGUGCAGCUAGAGUGCAGGAGAGGGAAGUGGAAUUCCGAGUGUAGCGGUGAAAUGCGUAGAUAUUAGGAGGAACACCAGUGGCGAAGGCGGCUUACUGGACUGUAACUGACGUUGAGGCUCGAAAGCGUGGGGAGCAAACAGGAUUAGAUACCCUUGUAGUC